UGGAAUUGUGAGAUUAUCAGAGAUGGAGCAACUUCCUGGAACAUACACCUACCCACCAUACGCAGUUAUACACAAAAAUAGUAAAGCACAGUUUUUAAAGCUUUUGUGCUUAUCAGCUUGUCAGAACUAAAUAAGAGCAAUUAUCCAAGGAAUAAACAUUUGUACUGAUCACACACAUACGAAUCUUGGCUCUUUCGUGCCUGCAUAUGACCUGGACUACUCACAGUGUCAAAUUCAUACCAUUAAUUCAGAUUUUUACCUACAGUAAAAUUGCUUUAAUAUGAGAGGUUAUUCACAGGCAUAAAAUGUCUUCCUUUUCAUUUUAAUGAAAGGUGUAUUUAUGUAUGACUAGGAGUUCUUAGCAUGGUUUAGUUUCAGCUCUUUUGCAUUUCUCACAAAUUAUUUUCUGUUGUUCUGAUAACAUCAUUUGACAAACAGGUUUAUUGCAUUCAUUCCACAUACCUUUAGUGGUAUUUUAAAACAUUACUAAUGCUUAAUUUGUAAAUCAUGUUGUCCUCUGUGUAAUUCAGUCAUAAGAAGAAGCAGGUACAUAGGAGUACGUAAAAUCUCAAAACUGAUUGAAAUAAGUAGUCUCCCCAAAUACAGCAUUUUAAUUUGAAACCUGUGUUUCUGUUAAUAUAAUUGAAAUUAAUCAAGCUUUUCAAAGACAAUAAACACUAAAAGAAGAAAUGAAAAAUUGAAGUUACCUUAAUAAGUGUUUCAAGAUUUUCUUGAUAAACUGAGGUCUCAGCCUUGUGGGAGUAUUAUGUACUUGAAAAAGUUGAGUAACCCAUCACACAGGAUGAAGUUAUCUCAUUUAAAAUUAAAUCUGAAGUGUAAAUGUGUCUGUCAUUUCAGAUAAUCUGAGAAUAAUAGACAAUUAUUUAAGGUAGAAGUUGUGUAUCUGCAUCACUGUGUAGUUGCUGAUCCAACCAAAUGCUGUAAAAAUAUCGAUAAUACGCACUGCCUGGUAUCCUACUAGAGUAAUCAAGAAGCUGAACUGACUUCAAACUAUUAAUCAGGUCCAUGAGUAUAUUUUUAUUCAACUAUUUUUAUAUUUAAGAGAGACAUUAAAUGUUUCCCUUUAGUCAGUGUUUCAGCUUUUUAAAAAAUACAUCCUGCUUUGCACUGCAAGCAGACAGUUAAGCAAAAUGAUCUACUGUCCUUCCCGUGUCCUGUCUAUGUAACAAUACUGUUCUACAUCUGUUUACUGGCCACUUUUACUUAUGUAGCAACUUAGGGAAAGAACAGACGUCACAGUGCUGGACAGCCCUGUUCAAGGUUAUGACAGAAAAAAAAAUCUAGGAAGAGUGUAAGAAAUUAUUCCUACUCUGUUUAAAUUAUUAAGUUUUAUAUAAAAUUUCAGACUCUUUUACUUGGUAAGUUGGAGAACCACUUUAAGUUACAGUUCACUGAAUAAAUUCACUAUAUUCAAAUCUACAGUGCAGAUUGCCGGUUUUGCAGCAGAUGGGCAGUAGUUUAACACUGCUGCACCUCAAAUAGGAACGCAAAUGUUGAUUCCUAUCAAAAAAACUAGAGAAGGAAAAUAAUCUUUCUGUAAUAACCAAAGACAAAAGGCUAAACAAGAUUUUGUUUUUUCCCAGUAGUGAUGUUGGUUUAUCAUAGCUGAGUUUUUAAGGAAAAUAAUGGCUUGAAUUUUGUGGUUUUGAAAGGAAUGCAGAGAGUGCUCUCUUGCUUGUUAUUUCCACAGCCUACCAUACUAGCGGGGAAUAAUUCAUUUUACAGAUAAUUGGUGUUUGAAGCUCCAGGUUAAAAUAAAGGAAGUUCAACAACUGGAGAACCUGUGGUGAUGGAGACAACCCCCAAGAGACACGUGGAGGAAGGCUGGGUGGGCAGAGUUGGCCUGGGACAGCAGGCUGCCGGAGGCUUGCUCGCUUGCCCUGAGAAGGGGGUGUGACACUGUGUGAAUACACACAGCCCGGGAAAGAAACCCAAGGAAUUAGACGUAUCAGCACAGCUACAGAGCUGUGACCUCUUUGGGAUCACAGGGACAGGGUGGCAUAGCUCAUGACGAGUGCUGUGAUGGAAGGAUACAAGCUCUUUUGGAAAAGCGGACAGGGAACUGAGUGGAAGUUGUGUUCUACACCAACAAUCAUCUCUUUGCCUGGAUCCUAUUUGGUUGUAUUUGCUGAACACUUCUGUAGUGCCCAGGAACUGGAGUUUUACUGUUGACUGGAGUAGUAAGACUGAUGGAGGGUUGUCACAAAAGCUCACCAUGAGGAAGGAGGUUGUCUCUGGGCCGAGAGACGACUCGCUGGCAGAAUGACAGUGUUUCAGCUCUGAUUUGAAGAACCUCCUCUUACUAAAGAAGUACAGUGGGUCCCUAUGUACUGCAUGUUUGAGGUUAUGUUGUACAAGUGUGCGUGACAGGAGUAUAAAAGAAACUUUGGAGAUUGCGUGUAGUUCAGUGGUUUUGCGUGCAGUAUGUUAUAUAUAUUUGUGGCAAACUGAAAACAUGGCUGUAUUUAUAUAAGGUUUACUUGGUGUUAGGCUAAAUAGAAGCGUCACAAAUUGAAUGAAAGUACUGUAAGCAAAAAAAAAACCCAAAUCCCGUUGACUCAGUGUUUGCUCUGUGAAAUCGUUUAUUCGGUUAACUGAAGGCCUAAAGGCCAUUCUGGGUAAUGGCAUGUUAUCUAAUUAAUACAAUUAGAAAAAGUAGUGCCUUUCAGCCUGGAAUAGUAAAACUGCCCCCUCCACAUACACACUUAAAAACCUAACCUAAAACUAACAAAGCCAAAAAACUGGGAGGAAGAAAAGAGAGGGAAAAUCUAUUAACUAGUUUGUAUUGGGACUCCUUAAGUUGAUUUCCAUAUUAAAUUUGGAAUUGUCCCUUUUAUGCGGAAAAUCUGCAUUGAGCUUGUAGCCCAGAGAGGGGGUUGAGCUGUAGCAUUUGGAUCUGGAACUGGUGGUGGUCUAGAUCCAUGCUUACAUCUGAACUGCUUGAACAAGAGACUUCAGUAAGAGUUGAGAGUGUGAGUACAUUAUGGCAGCCCUUGCUGAGGUCCUGGGGUGUCAUGCCUCCCGCAUUCUUGCUAGAGGUUUAUGAUUCUCCCAGAGCGUGCAAAUGGAUCUGCCAGCGCUCAGGAGCGGCUACAGUAUAGUCGUGCUUGUUCCAGCAAAGAAGAUAGUCAGCUCUGAAACACCACCAUGCACUGGUUUUGCCCUGUGGCUUUCUUGUUUUUCAGUGGAAAGUAAUUGAGUAGCCCUAUGGUAAUACAUUGCUAGCAAUGUGUCAGCAUUCUGUUAAGUUUUGUUAUAGAAGAGUUUAUGGAAACAUUGUGGUUUCACUCCAUUGGGCUUUUAAGAGAGAUAAGCAUAUAACUGCUAAUAAGCAUUGUGAUAGUUGUGGAUGGUUUUAUGCUGCAUUGUUGAUUUGGUUUGUUUCUCCUUUGCAGCCAUACCCGUAGUUGAAAUAAGAAUUACAUUUGUUAAUUCACAGAUUAUAUAAAAUGUAUCCAGUGAUGAUAGUUGGUCAUUAGUAACUAGGGAAAAUAGACACAGAGUUUGAAGUGAUCAGGUCAAAGUCAUAGAGUGAAAAAAACUCAUCAUUUUUAUAGCUAUUGUGCCUUUACAUUUGCAGAUUACUUCUUACUGCAAUUUAUUGAUCAGUAUAUGCCAACUGAGACUUUCCUCUUGGCAUUCCCCAGGUUAAGAGACAGUUAAGAGGCAUUUGUGGCGGUUUUGCUCCAUCAGCCUAGCAUAAAGGUCUUGUGCUGAGGUGAGGCUGUAACCCCAGAUACUUGGAAAUUGCAUUUCUAAGCACUGGUGGGUUUGUGGAUACAUACAGCUUCUGAGAGGAGCUUUGAGAAGGUUACGAGCUGAAGUCAGUCUAUGGCAUCUGUGCCUUGUGACAGAAGAGGGCCGUGGGCAGGGCUGUCAUUGACAGGACUGUGCAAGCACCUUCUCAGCCUUUGGCAGAACUUCUGAGUUUCUUGGAGAAGCAUCUGUGUUUCAAGGAAUUAAUCCAAGCAAACAUGAAGUUUUCUGAAGAGGGAAAAGCAUACCUGACAUGGGUUCAAAGCAGUGAAUAGAGUUUGUAAGAGAGACAUCCUACUUCAGGAAAGGUUUACUGGUUUCUGUCUGGGCAGGAAUUAGGAAAAGCAGCUUGAGGCCCUAACUAAUUAUCGUGGAUAUCGAAAACCAACAAACCAAAAAAUACCCUCUUCAUAAAACUAUUGUCUGCUUUAAGAUGAACUUCAGCUCAGAAAGUUUGUCUAUAGAGUGUUCUUUAUGGAAGGCAAACAAUGUGAAUGUGUAUGUGCAUAAUACAUACAAACAUGAUGACUGGUAGUAUUGUCCAUCUGAUGUGCCUACACAAGUCUCCUCUCCCUUCCUAUUCUAGGAAUCGUACUGUUUAUGCAGUAAUUUUCACAGUGUGAUGAGACCUUCUUUGUAGGAAAACCCGUUUAGUUAUUUUGUUUACUUUAGAAUAAUUUAAAGGUCGAGAAACAGUUUUAAAUACAGUUUUUAAGAAACACAAUUGGAUUUACAGUCAUCACCGAGCUUAUAAAACAAAGCUUUAUAGUUAAGAUGCCACCUGGGAACUAUAUACAAAGACUAUGCUAAAAGUAUGAGAAAUACAGAUUUAUAUGAACUUACAUAUGUUAUGUUUUCUUAAAAAAAGUAUUAUACUUUUCUAUUGCAAUCAGAACUCACAAUGAGAACACACAAAAUUUGGAGGAACUGGAAGCAUCUGUGCACAAAGUUUCAAAUAAUAUUAUCAAUACUCAAAAGUCCACCAGAGAAAACAGUGUAUCUAACUGAAGAAUGAAAUUAAUAUAGCUACCCACUUGUGCUCUUUAACUGAAAGAAAAAAACCCCAAUUGUCUAAACGUGCAUAAUCUCUUGUUUGAGAUCUGGAACCAAAAGGGAAAAAAGCUUAUAAAACUGAAACACAAGUGUUACAUCAUAAGAACUCUUUACAAGAAGCUUACAACACAGUUUAGUAUCUACACACUCUCUUUAAUAAAUGGAAUUUCAUUUUAUUAUUUACAGACUUCAAUGCUGUUCUCAACUCAUCCAUGUCUUUCUAAAAGACUCUGCUUAUGUAAAUAAGGAUUAGUUGGCAAAGUUAAUUAUGGUAAAGGAAAAAUGAAUGUUAAACUUGGGAUGAAAAUGGUGUCUAGAGAAUAUCUGUUUGCUGCCUUGUACUCGCAGAGGUACCAUGACAAGAUGCUAAGGCAGUUUUGAUUAAGACCUUGGGUAUUCCCAAAAGGUCUUUUCUGGAGGUUGCUGUACAUGGUAGAGAGAUACAAACUAACUUCAGAAACAUUAAACUGGCUACCAGGGGAGGGAUAACUGCAGUGGCACAAAAUCAUCUGCAUUUCCAAGGAAGGUGUAAUAAAGGAACAAAACAAGGUGCCCAGCUCUACACAGUGUUCCCUUAUCACAUGGGUUGUCAGAUCUGUUCCACACAGGAAGCUUGUUUUCUAAACAGUUGCUUUGCCCUUAGAGAUAGCCGUUAAGGUGUCACGUGCUUAAGAGUUGCUGUUCAUUUCAACAGGAAAUAGGAAUGAACUGGAGUUUUGGGGUGAACAGAACUACUACUGUCCAGUUGUUGCCUACUAGUAUUUCAGAGGCGUUUCAGUGGGCUUAAUCAGGAAGUCAAGUUAUUAACUUAAUUUCACAUCAGAAGAGGUAGUGCAGUUGCUGUGAUCUUGCAAGAAGACACAGAGCUACGUUUUCCAAGGUUGCACACUUCGAUGAUUAAGCCGUAAACCCUUGCAUGUUUUGGCUCCACUUCAGGUAUACCUACAGGCUUUCCUGUUGUGGUCUUUUGGACUCAAGUGACCUGUGCAAAGUACAGCUGAGAAGGAGUGCAGGGGUGUACAAGGCUCUUACUGUGCUGUGUGCAUGUAAUCACUGCAAGUACCCACUGCAGGAACCUCCUGGCAUCUCAACAGGUGCUUCAUCUGAUUAAGGAUGUAUUCAGGACUGCACUUCAUUAGUAAGGUUUCCAGAAGUCAUUGAAGGCAAAUUAGUUAUCGCCAUUCAUACACAUGACCUAAUGACACAAAUGUGCUCUCUGAGAUGGGUUCUUAUGUGGCUGUGGGGAGGGCACUAGUCAAUCACACUUACAUAUGUGUGGUUAAAAGAGGCAUGUCUAGCCUUUGUGCAAAGCAUUUUAUAUAUGAGUAGUUAGAAGAAUUAGAAAUAUAUUUUCUAUCAAAAAAUAGGUGAUUAAUCUAUUUUAGAGGUGCAGACUAUUUAAACCUGGUGUAAUCGAAAUAGGAUCUUUUUAAAAUUCUUUUUGAAUGUGUUUGAAAAGUCAUGUUUGCAGAGUGUGUUCUGAUCCCAACAACUGUGGUGUAGACCAGAGAAUUGGUGAAAAGCUCCUCAGGUUAUCAUUCAAUUUAUGCACUGAAAGGCAAACCCUAUUAAGUAUGUCAUUCUUGAUGGAUGUGUGUGUUUAACCUUCAAAGGUGGAGAUCCCUCAGGGAAUCUACUGCAGUGCUGUAUUAGCCUUACAACUAGCUUCCCCAAAAAAUUAACAUGAUUCUUCCUUGCUAUAUUUUAAGCCUGUUAUUGUUGCUGUUGUCUGCCACUCAUGUGAAGUACAGAUGUUUGUUUUUCUCAUUCCAGAGCUAUACAGGUAUCUAAAACCUGCUGUCCUCUUCCCAGACUGCUUUUUCUUCUUCAGAUUAAACUUUAACAGUCUUUUUAAUCUUUUGUCGUAAGCCAUACCUUCCCAUACUCCAGUUAUUGCUUCUUUAUCCUGCUUAGUGGCCCACAUCUUCAAGGUAAGAUGUGGAAGGUCAUGUCCAAAACUGGGAGAGGUGCUUCAGCUGAAACAAUGCCAGUGCUAAGUGAAGUGGAAGGAUUAAAUUGUUCACUGCUUAGGCCAUCCUGCUUCCUGUACUCUCUGGUUUGCGGGAACUCUCUGGGAGAGGGAUUCUCUGGAUUCCCACACAGCAGAAUCAAGAAUCUGGAAUUAUUUAAUGUCACUUGAAAUUAACAACGAAUUGUGAGACACUGCCUUGCUAUAACUUAGUGUCGUUUUCAGUGGAUUACUUGGUGUGGAGUGAGUGCCAUCUGGAGGUUAGGAAACAUGGAGCUUUGUGUGCUUUCAUGCCGAAAAAGAAAAUGCCCAUGCUUUAUAAAUGAAAUGUUCCUACACGAAUAGGAGGUUGAGCCUGACAGGUACUGGACAUCUGCCACUCAGUAUAGAGUCUGUGACCCAUAGGAGGAGUAAGCUUGCUCAUUAUGACCCCAGCUGCUCAUUAUGUCUCAGACUAAGGCAUGCAAGUGUAAUGACUUUUCAGUAUUACACAAUCACCAAUGAAUACAUAGCCUCUGAGUGGCCUGUGCAGUCUUUGGAAGAAGCUAUGGACAGCACAGGAAUAAGGAAAGGCUUGAUCUGCUCUCUCCCUCUUUCAGAUAUUUGAAGACAAACCAGUUCCUGGUGCAGUUUUCUGCUCACAGGAGAGAGUAGAAAGCAUUUUAGCUGAACAAGAUGAUGUCUUUUUUAAAGAGUAGGUUGCUAUUUGGUGUGUCAGAACACAGUUGUCCAUCAAAAUUCAAGUGUGCACAGAAGGAAAUCAGUCCUCCUCACCUAAGCAGAUUGCAUGGUGUGGUCUUCCUUCUUUAGGUAGCUUAGCUUUAUCUUGAAAGCUGUAAUCCUGUAGUUCUCACUGUGUUGAGGAAGCUGGGAGGAGAACUGCUUGGUGCCAUGACUUCAGUAAGUGGGAUUUGGCUCUUCUUUCUACAGUGGUUUUGGGUUUGUUUUUUGUUUUGUAUUGUUUUGUUUUGGUUUGGUUUUUUUUCCCCAGAGACCACUUGGAUGUUGACAGUGAUCACACUGUUCCACACCACCUCUUGUGCUUUUGAACUGCCUUCGGCUGCUGAAGUUUUUGUAAUGAAGAUGUAUUAGUGAAGAGGCUUUAGCCUCCACAGAUUCUCUCCAGAUCCUAUCCUGUUGAACCUGGUCCUGCUGCAGUGCUGCCUGCUUGUCUGCCCAGGCCCGAGCAGCCGGUUGUGCAAUGACAGGUCUUCUGGAUUGGGUGCUGCUGAGAGACACAGAUGGAGCUGAGGCUGGUUGCCGCAGAGGUGUGGUUGCUGGUUGCCAAGACCUAACCAAGUAACAAGCUUCUUGAAGCCUGAGAAGUUCUCAUUCAUUGCACUGGACGAUGGGGACUUCAGAGACUUAUUCCAGAACACUGAAAAACUUAAUGGAAAUUGCUUGGUUAAAUGUGAGAAACGUUAGAGACGGGAAAUAAUAACAGGAGAUUAAUGUGUUGCUGCUUUGGUUGGAAGUGCAUGUUGGUCCAGGAUGGGUGUUGUCAAAGUCAGUGAGACUGAUCUGAUUUUCCCAUGUGGUCCUGCUUUCAGGAAUAAGGUCUGAAAUCCUUUUUAGCCCAUUUGUGUUUCCCAGAUUUCUCCUUUAUAUCCAGGUCUUCUACAGUAUACAUCCAGUGUUGGUUUGCACUUUACAACACAGUACUGUGUUGGGAUACUUUCCUACAAAAGUUAUGUCUCCUAAACCUUAAGGACAGUGUUGCCAAAUGUUCAUGCCAUGUUUUGUACAGCUCAGACUGUGGAAGAGGGAGCUAUAAGGGUUUCUGGACUCUCCCACUCCUAGAUCUGCUGCUGAAUUUAGGAGAAGAUGCAUGGUAUGCCUGCCUGUGUCUCAACAAGCUCACCUGUAAAAGAAGAAAGAUCACAGCUAUAUCACAUUGUGAAGAGCAAAUUUCUGAGAGGUGUGACAGUGAUUCAAUGAACAGCAAUUUUCAUGUAAGAAAGUUUGUGUUUGUGAGAUGUUGUAGAGAUUUGAGAAACAUACACAUUUAAAAACACAAGUGCACUGUAUAAGUCACAUGUGAAUAAGAGGCAGGAGCAAGAUCAUCAGCUGGAGGAGAGGGCAGCUCUCCAGAGACCAGAGCAGAUCACCACUUGGAAGAUAUCUGCCAUUUCAUGAAUGGGACAGAGAUCCUCAUGUAAAUCUUUGGUAUGAGCAGUGCUGCCUGCCUUGAAUAGUGACAUUUGCGUUGUCAUUAUCAUCUUCCUCAAAUGAAUAAAGAUCAGUCAAGUCAGUCAAGAUUGCAGACUGGAAGAAGGGUCAUGGCAAUGGUUAGCAGGGCGGGGUGUUAGGUGAUUGGUCAGAGGAUGCUGGGCACCCAGCAGAGAAGUGAUGGAUGGCAGAGCAUUACUGCAGUGCUUUCUCACUCACCCUGGGCGUUAACCAGCAAGGGCCCUAGAAAGCUUGGAGGUGAGAGAUCCAAGCUAUGGCUUGGUCUGGCAGGAGCAGAGUGCCUUGGGUUGCUGUGUGCAGCCAAAAUGGAAACAAACCCUGCAAACUACCAGUUUGGAGUAAAACUCCUUUUAAAUGAUUAUGCAGCUGCUUGAUUAAAGGCCUCAUGUAUUAAGUUUUGCUGUAGCUUUCAUUAAAAAAUAUCAACUUCUUUCUCAUCUUAAUGCAGUUCUGCUGAGAGAGCCUGGCAAGUUGAGUGUCUGUUGUGUCGGCAGCCUACAAAUGCCACCGCGGGAAUGUCUGCUUCCGGUGACACAGAGUCUGACACUUCAAAAUGAAAUCAAAGCUGUAAUGCAGACUGUAAGAAAUCUGUUGUGGAUUUUUUUCGUUCCUUUCUUUUAAUAUAAAUUCUAAUGUUACAAAAUAUGUUAGCUACUGGUAUGCAGUUUGCUUUAUUUGAAACAAAAAUGACUUAUUUGAAAAAAUAUUAUUUACCUGAAAAAAAUAUUAAGCAGCAACUAUUCCAUAGAAUAUGCAAGCCUGUUACAUUAAAGUCGUCUUCUUAAACCUACCACCUGAGCAAGGUGAUGGGAUUUCAGGGAGGGAGCAUUGCAGGGCUGGUGUGUGAGUAAGGUUGUUUGCAAGUAUCUGUUUUGAGGAGAAAGAGCUAUAAAUAUAAGAAGUGUUCCUCACUGGCUGAAGAAUGUUUUCUGUGGUAUUUCUCAUAAUUUUCGUCUUACAGGCUAGAUGCUGUCAAGAAGUGCAAUAUCACUUGGACAACCAAAGUUGUCCUCAUUAGUCAGAGUUGUUCAAGUCACAUCCUCACCAUGACAUGGAGCUUUGGUAACUGCAUAGUGGAGCUUGGCUUUAUUCUGUUCAUCUGCUGUUUUCUUGGACAGUUCAUUAACAUGUCUAAGAGAAUUUAACUGUAUAAAGUGAUUAAGUACUUCUGAAAAGGCUGUGCUUCAUACUGCUUCAGACCUAAGGCAUCAGUUUGACCUCUGAAGUCUGGCGUAGCCCUCCGUUUCUAUGCUCCUGUGGUAUGCAUCUGUUAACAGUAUCAGCUUACAGAUCACUUUAUAACAGCUGAAGAGAAACUGCUUCACAGAUACUACAGAGAUUCAGUUUUCUCUCUCUUCUUCCGGGGGCACUGUAGUAUUUACAGAAGCAUUUUAUCCUGUGAAAUAAAAUAUUCCAGGUGUGUAUCACUCUAUAUUUCAA